GACGAACGCUGGCGGCGUGCCUAAUACAUGCAAGUCGAACGAGAGCGACCGGUGCUUGCUCUGGUCAAUCUAGUGGCGAACGGGUGAGUAACACGUGGGUAACCUGCCCAUCAGAGGGGGAUAACAUCCGGAAACGGAUGCUAAAACCGCAUAGGUCUUCGAGCCGCAUGGCUUGAAGAGGAAAAGAGGCGCAAGCUUCUGCUGAUGGAUGGACCCGCGGGGCAUUAGCUAGUUGGUGAGGUAACGGCUCACCAAGGCGGUGAUGCAUAGCCGACCUGAUAGGGUGAUCGGCCACAUUGGGACUGAGACACGGCCCAGACUCCUACGGGAGGCAGCAGUAGGGAAUCUUCCGCAAUGGACGCAAGUCUGACGGAGCAACGCCGCGUGGGUGAAGAAGGUUUUCGGAUCGUAAAACUCUGUUGUUAGAGAAGAACAAGUGCUAGAGUAGCUGUUAGCGCCUUGACGGUAUCUAACCAGGAAGCCACGGCUAACUACGUG
rnacentral:rRNA from 1 species